rnacentral:rRNA from 1 species
UACGUAGGGGGCAAGCGUUGUCCGGAAUCAUUGGGCGUAAAGCGCGUGUAGGUGGCUUGGUAAGUCGGGUGUGAAAACCUGGGGCUCAACCCCAGGCCUGCACUCGAUACUGCCUCGCUCGAGUUCGGGAGGGGAGAGCGGAAUUCCUAGUGUAGCGGUGAAAUGCGCAGAUAUUAGGAAGAACACCGGUGGCGAAGGCGGCUCUCUGGAACGAUACUGACACUGAGACGCGAAAGCGUGGGUAGCGAACAGG